rnacentral:rRNA from 1 species
AUUGAACGCUGGCGGCAGGCCUAACACAUGCAAGUCGAGCGGAGCGGCGGACGGGUGAGUAAUGCCUAGGAAUCUGCCUGGUAGUGGGGGAUAACGUCCGGAAACGGGCGCUAAUACCGCAUACUAUCAGAUGAGCCUAGGUCGGAUGAGCUAGUUGGUGGGGUAAAGGGCUACCAAGGCGACGAUCCGUAACUGGUCUGAGAGGAUGAUCAGUCACACUGGGACGUAGACAAGGUCCAGACUCCUAACGGAGGACGCAGUGGGGAAUAUUGGACAAGGGGGGAAAGCCUGAUCCAGCCAUGGCGCGGUAGUGAUGACGGCCUUCGGGGUGUAAAGCUCUGUUAAUCGGGACGCGGUACCGGAAUAGAAAGCCACGGCUAACUACGUGCCAGCAGCCGCGGUAAUAC